rnacentral:rRNA from 1 species
UACGUAGGUGGCAAGCGUUGUCCGGAAUUAUUGGGCGUAAAGCGCGCGCAGGCGGUCCUUUAAGUCUGAUGUGAAAGCCCACGGCUCAACCGUGGAGGGGCAUUGGAAACUGGGGGACUUGAGUGCAGGAGAGAAAAGUGGAAUUCCACGUGUAGCGGUGAAAUGCGUAGAGAUGUGGAGGAACACCAGUGGCGAAGGCGACUUUUUGGGAUGUAACUGACGCUGAGGCGCGAAAGCGUGGGGAGCAAACAGG